rnacentral:rRNA from 1 species
AACGAACGCUGGCGGCAUGCCUAACACAUGCAAGUCGAACGAGACCUUCGGGUCUAGUGGCGCACGGGUGCGUAACGCGUGGGAACCUGCCCUUAGGUUCGGAAUAACUCCCCGAAAGGGGUGCUAAUACCGGAAAAUGUCUUCGGACCAAAGAUUUAUCGCCUUUGGAUGGGCCCGCGUUGGAUUAGCUAGUUGGUAGGGUAAAAGCCUACCAAGGCGACGAUCCAUAGCUGGUCUGAGAGGAUGAUCAGCCACACUGGGACUGAGACACGGCCCAGACUACUACGGGAGGCAGCAGUGGGGAAUAUUGGACAAUGGGCGAAAGCCUGAUCCAGCAAUGCCGCGUGAGUGAUGAAGGCCUUAGGGUUGUAAAGCUCUUUUACCCGGGAUGAUAAUGACAGUACCGGGAGAAUAAGCUCCGGCUAACUCCGUG